UGGCGUUCAUCCCACAGUGUUGGACUGGCCGUGGUGCUCUGCUCCCCACCACACCUCCUCUGGAUCCUUGCUAAAUGCAAGCUGACAAACCUGUGCCUUGUUUCAUCUGGGUCUGCACAAAAGGAUAAAUAACUACGAGACCUGAAAAGGCUGUUGAAAUAUCAGAUGGCGAAAACAAGCAGGAGCUCCAGAUGGAGCAACUGGAAGAGAAACAUGACAAAGAUGGUAAUGGGAAAGCUUCGGAUUCACACUGGAUUGGAAGUCCCCUGCUUGGGAUUGGGGGUUCCCACCUGUGGCUUCCAAACCCACCCUCUGUGCAAGCCCUUGUGCAAAGCAACAUCCCAUGAGGAAGUUCUUCAUUAUUAUGCUAGGAACAUUGAUCUGAAGCUGUAUCCUGAAGUGCUGAGACCUUUGGUGAGCUGUAGGAGGCCUUCAGCAACCGCCAGCUUCACUCCAGAAGGAAAAGGUGGAUUUUAAGUCUACAGUUUCAGAGCUGAUGAAAAUAUAUGGAGGCCUGAUUUCCACUAAAGGGGAGAGGAGAAGGCAUGAGAAAUCCCUUGAAUCAUUUGAAGGAAAGAUUGGUCCUGCUCCACUGAAACCCUUGGUCUGCAUAUGCCCCCUUGGAGACCUUUAGUGAACAUCAAAGAAUGGCAGUAGAAUUUUCAUUGUGCUCUGUCAGAAAAACUAAAGGAAUUUCUAUAUCUCUGAGUUUCGUGAGCAGCUUACCUCCUCACAUUUGUACUGAAGUCUUUCAUGACUGGUUUCCUUAGUGAAGAAAAGAUUGCUGUUGAAAUUAACUCUGUGAAGAUCCAGUCAAAGCAAAAAGAACACUGAAAUUGUGUUGAUUCUUACAAGACAAACAUUCUUUCUGGAGCUAUUCUGGAAGGACAUUUCACCUGGAACAAUAAAAUCCAGGUUUUCAGAAAAACAGAUUAAUGACUGUGUGUGUUCUCUGGGAUAAUGUGUCUAUCAGGAACUCUAUAUUCCCCCUUCAAAGAUGCCCUGCGUGGGUAAACGUUACCUCUUCACCCAAAAAACUCUAAUUUCAUGUCAGCCUUCCAGCUCUGAGCUGUUCCAUUUGUGUGCAGAGAGAAAGGGUGAAUCACUGCCUUAAUUAAGGAUCAGAACAGAGAUCCCACAAAGGUUCCUUAGUGCUGCUUGGGGACCGAUGUCUGCCCUCAUCCCUGUGUUCCAGAGCCUCAGUCAGGGGGCAGUGCUGGGGACCACUCACUCUCCCUUCUGGUGCUCCAGCUGGAUCACUGGCACCAGGUUUUUGAGGCACUGUGCUGGCUGGGAUUUGCAUUCUCUCUCUGCUUCCACAAGGAGUAUGAGGAACGCUGAGCAGCACCACCACAACUUGAUUCUCUUCAGCCAAAGGGUGACCAGUGUCCCACCUUGCCAUGGAGGUCAAUGGAAGUUCACUUGUCGACUUCAUGCACAGGAUUUCAACCCGUGUCUGUGAUUAGUGAUGAAAUGAAAUUCACAGCUUGGAACCAUUUAUCCAGCAUAUCCAAUCAAACACAAACAUCCUUUGUGAUUGAAAAUGAAUCAGGGCUGGAGGCAGCUAGCGUGCUGCAGAGGUUUGUGAUAGAUUAAUGAGCUGAGAACAAGCUGCCACCUCCACCCCCAUCAUCAGUGACUUUCCAGUCUGAGGAAAGGGACGCUGAGCUAGAGGUGGAGGAUAUACCCUCUGAUAACUGUUGCAGUGGGAGGCGAGAAAUAAGAGCUCCAAGUGGAGGAGGAGGAGAAAAAAAAGGCCAGCACUGUCCUCUGUUAAGCAGGGUACAGUUCAGAGAGAGCAGCUGCCUGACAGUGUUCUGGCAGGAGGGUCAGGGCAGGAGCAGCCCUGUGCUCACAGCACCUGUUAUCGAACACUACCCGCAGGUACCAGGGCAGCACAGACCGUGGUUUUCUGACUUCUGCCAGACACGUGGGAAGGUCAGGGGCCUGUGAGACGAAAGGAGAGGAUGAAACAGCUGACAAGGUCUGCCCUCAGUGAGAUGCAGUAACACCAAUGCAGAAGGGCUCAUCCCUUCUGCAGAGGCAUGAAGGAUCCCAGAGGAUUCUUGGGCUUAAAGAUGAAAAUAAAGUCUGAGUUUGAGUGUCACCACUCAGUGAUUUUUUAAUUGGGAAAAUCAUGUUAUUUACCCUUUCCUUCCCUUCCCCCUUGACAUGCCAGCCCUGG